CCACUCCGCCUAGGACUACGAGCGCUAGCUUGAACCUAAGGACUUGGCGGUAUCUCGAACCUCCUAGAGGAGCCUGUCCUAGCACCGAUAACCCCCGUUUAACCUCACCACUACUUGCCAACCCAGCCUAUAUACCGCCGUCGACAGCUUUCCCCCCAGGGCCGAAUAGCAAGCAAGACAGACCCUAAACCUAACACGUCAGGUCGAGGUGUAGCGCACUGUAGUGGGAAGAGAUGGGCUACACUCCCUGCCUCAGGGACCACGAAGAGGGCCCUGAAAUUGGGCUCUUGAAGGAGGAUUUAGCAGUAAAGAGGAACUAGAGCGUCCUUUUGAAGAAGGCCUUGAGAUGCGUACACAUCGCCCGUCACUCUCA
rnacentral:rRNA from 1 species